rnacentral:rRNA from 1 species
CCGUAAACGAUGAAUGCUAGGUGUUAGGGGUUUCGAUACCCUUGGUGCCGAAGUUAACACAUUAAGCAUUCCGCCUGGGGAGUACGGCCGCAAGACUGAAACUCAAAGGAAUUGACGGGGACCCGCACAAGCAGUGGAGUAUGUGGUUUAAUUCGAAGCAACGCGAAGAACCUUACCAGGUCUUGACAUCCCCCUGACCGGUACAGAGAUGUACCUUUCCUUCGGGACAGGGGAGACAGGUGGUGCAUGGUUGUCGUCAGCUCGUGUCGUGAGAUGUUGGGUUAAGUCCCGCAACGAGCGCAACCCUUGACUUUAGUUGCCAGCAAUUCGGUUGGGCACUCUAGAGUGACUGCCGGUGACAAACCGGAGGAAGGUGGGGAUGACGUCAAAUCAUCAUGCCCCUUAUGACCUGGGCUACAC